rnacentral:lncRNA from 1 species
GGGUCUGUCAGACAACCCCAGGAUCGCCCCAGCCGGAUGGGAACCACCAGCUGAGAACGAUCCCCUACCGUGAGAGAACUCGAGAGAUCCCCACCGUUAAUCACGCUCCGAUCCUGAGGUCCUGAAUCAUCAAUCAGACUUUUGUGCCUGUCUCGUUAGAGUUCUAAGAGACAGUUGUACGAACCUAUAGAACAGAUCCUGUUCAAGUAAGGUCGUGCUUUGUUCUCCCGUUGGGGUUCUAAUGUACCUUGAAGAUAUCUUGGGAAUUGUGAUGUGGGACUAAGUGUCGUCGUUGUGGAUCCACUCGGCGUGUCAUCCGACGUCGUUGUCGCGAGUCCAGAUUCGUGAUUGGUGAGUGGUGCUGUGGACUGUAUCAAAAAAUGGUGCCAAUGGAUCCCGAUCGAUGGAUUUUUGUUUUUGUUUUUCGAGGUUGCUGCUUUUGAUAUUUCUCAGAUGUUUUUAUUCAUCAUAAUUCUUGAGAUAUGUUUCUAAAACACCACAUUACACCAUAUUGAUUGGUUGACAUGAUGAAUCAGUUCAUCAAUUUAGAUCGAUCACUACUGAACUAUGGAUCACUCUAAUUCUCACAUGUAACAUUUAUAGUGAUAUUUAUAAUAUAUUUGAAUAGAUUUAUAAUUUUUUUAUUGAAAAACAUUGUGAGUGAAGCAAAUGAAUACAAAACCUUAUCUAAAUCAGCUCAUACAUAAAAAUCAAUUUUUAAAUAAUUUUAAUUGUUCAUAAAUAAGAGCAACCAACUUCUAUAUCAAUUAUUUUAGUAUUUUUAACUAUGUUUACAAUAUUUUUAUCACAACUACUUUUAGCACUUCCAUCAAAACACUAUAAGCUCGCUUAUUUAGAAACACGACUACUUAAAAAAUUGAAUAUUUGAUCAAAAUGUUAUCUCUAUCUAUUCGGUUGACACUCGACUAAUAUAUCAGUUCUACUUAACUGACAUUCCAAGCUUAAGCGAUCAAUACAUCAUGCGGGGCUCAUGUAAGACUAAUAAUAUUGUACCGAAAAGAGAUUCAUACAUUUGCAUGAGAUUGAUCACAUAACGUUAAUGAUAAAUUGUUACUCUAUAUCUUUAGAUUGAUUUCAUAAUCUCAUUAAUGACCAAAUAAUAAUUCCUAUUUAACUUUGACCUCAACCCAAUAGUCACAUAUGACAUAAUAAAAGACUCAAAUAUAUUUAUAUCAUUUUGUCACGAGAUGAAUAACCAAAAUUUAUCAUAACAAUAAUAAUAUUAAUUUAAACAUAUAUAAAGUUUAAUCAUAUAUAUAACUAUAUAAUAUUAUUUUAACACAUAGGCUUUGUCAACUUUUACUUAUAUUCCAUUGACUUGUCACCUAACUGCAUCUUUACACGCAUAUUCUCUGGGAGACUUGGUUUAGGCUUCAACACCUGCAUUUAGAGUCGAAUGAUUAAGUAGAACUUGACUUUGCGCUUAAAAGCAAGUAAGGUAGUAUGCUGAUCUGACAUUCUUGGAAACUUGAUAGCUACUUAGUUCUUAUCUUAUAACAUCCUAUAUUUACUUUCAUUCAUAUCCUAUGCUGCUACCUUUUUAUUUAUCAUUGAUAUUAAAUAUAACACAUCAAUAAAGUGUACAAAUUUGAAUAUCCUAAAUUGCUAAAUAAAAUAAUAAAGUUUUCCUUAUGCAAAUUGAUAUUUAACAUCUAUACAUAGAUUAUACAAAUUAAUGUUUAACAUCUACACAUAGAUUAAUAUUUUUAGUAUAACAUUUUUAUUUUUUUAUUUAAUUAUCUAUUACUCCAUCAAUAUUGUUUACAUAUUGUUUAAACUUCAAACUUAUUUUAGACAAUCUUAUUUUAGACAUAAUCAAAACUAAUUCAAACCCGGAGAAUCACUUAUAAUCAUCAUGUAUAUAUUUAUUGUCAUGAUAUAACUUCAUAUUUAACUACACUAGUAUGGCUUAUUAAGUUGAAUGAUUUUUUUUUGUAAAAUAUCUACGUAGGUGCUGAUGCUUUUAUAUAUUUUGUUAGCAUAAAAAUUGUUAAAUUCUAUAUGUAAUACAGAAAAAAAAAUCUUUUAUGCUAGGAUUGAAAUCAAAUAAUAUUAGAUUGGUUUUACGUACCUUUUGAUGUCAUAUGAAAAUGAUCUCUAUAUGAUAUUUAAAGACAUCGUCUUUGGAUCCAAAACUAGAUUCUCCUUCUCCUCUUUUUUUAUCCUUUUACAGGACCACUUAGAUUGAUGAUUCAAAGAGGUUGAGAAAGAAACUGUAAUCUCUCAACUACGUCCUCUAUUAGAUGUGUUCUUUAGUCUUUAGAUGUCUUAUCUAUUUAUAGGAGAGAGCAGAGUGUCUAGGAUAAGUUAUUAGGAGAGUUCCUCACAUCCCUGAAUCUUACUUUGGACUUCUUUUCUAUUGGCUAAUAUCUAUCAUUAUAAUUUAAUUAGUUCUAUUAUAUAUUUUAUUUAAUUAUAAAGGGUCACAUAAUCUAAUAUUCUCCUACUUGACCAAAUAAUUGAUAAGAUAUAAAAUAUAUUCAAAAUCAAAAUAAAUAAAAUAAAAUUUAUUUGAAAAUAAUUUUAUAUAAUUGGAUUCUAAAAUUUUUUUGAAAAGUAUUUUAUACAUGACCAUGAAUUUUAAAAACAAGCCAAUAAACAUAAUAAUACUACAUUAAAUUCAACUAUCAAUGCGCGUCAUAACGGUUGUAUAUCAUCAAUGUCAUACUCUCUUCUAUAUACCACAAUAUUGUUAGUAUUUCCUAAUAUAAUUUAUAAUGACCUUUGUAAUUUAUCUUGUCAAUAUAGUCUUGUUAUUACAUUCAACUAUAAUAUGCAUAAAUAUAAAUAUAAAUAGGAUAACAAAAAUAAAUAACUUUAAUUAUGCAAAAGAAAUAGCAAUAAUAGCAUCCAUCUAAACAUGCAUUACCAUAUCUUUUAUGGCUUACUCACAAGCCUCAUUCUAGGAACAUGAUCUUUAAAUAUUUUACAUUGUAAAGCUUUAGUAAAUGGAUCAGCAAUCAUUAUGGUGCUGCUUAUAUUCUUAAUUAACACUUACUGUUUCUCGACUCUUUUUCUAACCACAAAGUACUUUAUCUCGAUGUGCUUGGAACCACUAGAGUAUUUGUCAUUCUUAAAGAAAAAAAUCUGCUACGACAUUAUUAUAAAAUAUCAUCAACGGUCUUGUAAUUGAGUCAACCACACCAGUCCUAAGAUAAAAUUUCGCAGCCAUAAAGCUUGAUUUGUAGACUCAAAGCAUGCCACAAAUUCAGCUUCCAUUAUUGAUGAUACAAUAAGUGAUUGCUUUAUAUUUUUUUAAAAAAAUUGCCCCACCAGCUAACAUGAAUACAAAUCCUGAAGUGGAUUUCUUGUUGUCGAAGUAAUUUACAAAAUCAACAUUUUAAAUAUUUAAUCACUUCAAGUUGAUCUGAUCUCCUAUAUGCGAGCAUAUAAUCUUUCGUCUCAUAUAGAUAUCUCAUUACUUUCUUUCUAGCCUUCCAAUAUUUUAUUCCUAAGUUGCUUUGAUAUUUACACCUAUAAAGAAUAUUUUUUUUUAUUUGAUUCAUUUCUAAGUCAUUUCUUGGGCACUGAUUUUGAUUGAAUUUUUCAUCUCUAGUAAUAAGUAUAUUAUUGGUUGAACAAAGUAGUAUAUUAAAUCUCUCGAAUAUAUGAUUAGUAUAUACUUUCUGAGACAUUCCUAAUAAUCAUUGAGAUCUACACAUGAAUAUCUCAAUGCCAAUAACAUAGGUUGCCUCAUUCAUAUCAGACAUCUUAAAGUUUUUUCUGAGAAAUAUCUUGGUUUCGUGCAAUAAACCAAGAUCACUAUUGGUAAAUAAAAUAUCAUCCACAUAAGACUAAUAUAAUAAAUUUGUUCUAACUUACCUUCAAAUAUAUGCACUGAUAAACAAUGUUUUUCUUAAAUCUAAAGAAAAUAAUGGUAUCAUGAAACUUUAUAUAUUAUUGUCUAAAAGCAUGUUUAAAGUCAUACAUGAAUUUCUUAAGUUUACAAACCCAACUUUCUUUUCCCUUUUGUAUGAAUCUUUCAAGUUUUUCCAUAUAUAUUUCCUCAUCAAAAUCCCCAUUCAAAAAUAUUAUUUCACAUCCAUUUGAUGUAACUUAAGAUCAUAAUGAUCUACUAAUACAAUGAUGAUUCUCAACGAGUUCUUUCUAGAAACUAGAAAAAAAGUCUCAUUAUAGUCGAUGUCUUCUUUUUUAGAAAAACCUUUGGUCACAACUCUGGCUUUAUAUCAUUCGAUAUUGUCCACUAAGUCACGGUUUAAUAACUGACUCUUUUAUAAUUAUUAAAAAAAUUAAUGAGUUCUCAAACACCAUUAUGGUCGAUUGAUUUUAUUUUAUUUUAUUUUUUAUUACAUCAUACUAUUCUUCAGAAUUAUUACUUUCUAUGGCUUGUGAAAUGAUAAGGGGUCUCAUUUUAUUCCUAUAUCAUAAUUUGAUUUUUAUAAAUAUACCAUAUAAUCAUCAAAAAUGACAUAUUUUUUUUCUUUUGAAAUCUUCUCAAAACUACCAAUUGUAAUUAUUCUACAAAAUCAUCAACGACGAUAGCAACAUCAUGUGAGAGUUUAUCGAUAAUAUUUUAUUGUUCACCCUCAUCAAUUCUUUCAUUGAUUUGAGGAACAAUAAUUUUUUGAAUAUGAGAUGAUAUAGGAGAAUUAAUUUGAAUCUUCUCAUUGUUCUAGGAAUCUUACGUUACCAGAUUCUAUUAUUCUGAUAGUAGGAACGGUGAUUACAAGAAUGCAUUCCAAAUGUAAGAUUGGAAAGAAUGUUAAGAGAAAAUUAACAUUUCCAAUUUGUAAUGAUGAGGUUUUCCCAUCUGCACAAGCACUCAGGUUAAGUGCUUCGCCCACGUUUACUUUAAACAUUGCCUGUAUACCAAUCAUGAAACCAAGGGAAUUUUUAAUUGAAUGAUUGGGAGAAGUAGCACUUGCCUGAUUGGGACCAGAUGUGGGCUAUAUAUAUAUAUAUAAAAGCUUCUUCGAGCUUUAUGGUACAAUGGAGAUGGAAGGAAUGUUCUGAUGCACUGACUGUUUGUUAAGGAGAGAAACAACAGAUGUAAUGUUUCUGGGCACAAUAUUUAUUAUUUUAAAUAAUGGGAUGAUACAACCCAACUAUUAUUAAAAAAGCAAAAAUUAUAUAUCCAUCUGAACUACAUGGAUAUAUACAAAUAUAAUUAUAUUUAUGUUUAGCAUUAGAUAUAUAUGUCUCAUUUUAACAACAAUUGAAGAUAGAUAGCAUGUCCAAUUAGCAAAAUAUGCACUUUGGCCAAGUUUUUGAUCCAUUCAAGUCCAAAAAUGUGUGUGGGUCUGUCAGACAACCCCAGGAUCGCCCCAGCCGAUGGGCACCACCAGCUGAGAACGAUCCCCUACCGUGAGAGACCUCGAGAGAUCCCCACCGUUAAUCACGCUCCGAUCCUGAGGUCCUAAUUCAUCAACCAGACUUUUGUGCCAGUCUCGUUAGAGUUCUAAAAGACAGUUGUACGAACCUUUAGAACAGAUCCUGUUCAAGUAAGGUCAUGCUCUGUUCUCCCGUUAGGGUUAUAAUAUAGCUUGAAGAUGUCUUCAGACACUGUGAUGUGGGACUAAGUGUUGUCGUUGCGGGUCCACUCGGCGAGUCAUUCGACAUUGUAAUAUAGUUUUUGAUACAUGAAAGUCCAAAAAAAGUGUGUGGGUCUGUCAGACAACCCCAGGAUCGCCCCAGCCGAUGCGGCAACAACAGCUGAGAACGAUCCCCUACUGUGAGAGACCUCAAGAGAUUCCCACCGUUAAUCACGCUCCGAUCCCGAGGUCCUGAAUCAUCAACCAGACUUUGGUGCCUAUCUCGUUAGAGUUCUAAGAGACAGUUGUACGAACCUAUAGAACAGAUCCUGUUCAAGUAAGGUCGUG